CAGUAAUAUUAUUUAUAUAAAUGUUUUCAGAUCCAGCUCUGGUUUACUCUGCAGUGAGAACUGGAAACCUCAGAGAGACUGGAAACCAGCAGAGGAGCAGAGAGAUCCAUCCGGGUCCAGUUUACUCUGCAGUGAGGACAGCAAACAUCAGACCCAACAGAACCAGAGAACCAGAACCAGAACCAGACGUGGUUUACUCUGCAGUCAGACCGGCUGCUGGUCCAUAACGGAUCAUCAACAUCAGGCUGUUUGUUCUGUCAAGUAUUUCUAUAAGAGAGGAAUAUUAAUGUGUUAUUAUUAUUAAAACAUAUUGUAACUUUAUAAUCAUUUCAUAAACAAACAGCUAAGAGACAAAAACAUUUCUGUUGAUUUGACAGGAUUUAUUUUCUUAUGGUUCAUAAAUAUAAUUACUAAUAAAACUGAAAUAUUGAGCUUCUGUUUCCAUCAUCAUUAUUAUUGAUAUUUAUCUAUAAAAUCUGCCUCCUUGUUAUUAUUGUUGGUUUAAGGUUAAAUAAAGUUUG